rnacentral:rRNA from 1 species
AUGCGCCAAGCUCGCGUUCAAGUACUUCGGGCCUUACAUGAUCAUGGAGAAGAUUGGACCGCUCGCCUACAAGCUCGACCUGCUGCUGGAGAGCCGGGUCCACCCGUCUUCCACGUCUCCCAGUUGAAGUUGUUCACUCCGGACUUCACAUCGGUGUAUGGGGAGCUGCCUAAGGUGUCGGACCUCUCCGUUGACUCUGUCACGCCCACGCGUAUCCCCGACUGACGCAUGAUGAAGCACGGCGACGCGCUAGUGGUGCAGAUCAAGGUCCAGCGGGGCACGGGCAGUUCGGCUACGGAGACUUGGGAAGAUUAUACCGUCCUCCGCCAGCGUUUUCCGACCGCCGCGCUUUGGUCAGAGGAAGAAGAGGAAGCACCUUAA